AGGGACAUGCGAGCUCUGGCGAGGACGGCUGCUCCCCCUGGCCUUGGUGUGGGACCUCCUGAGCUGCCAUUCCUGUGGUGGGAGUGUUUCUCCUCUCCUCCAGCCAAGCCAGAGACCGCCUAGGGAAGGAGCAGAGUGCAGCCGCCCAAGAAGGGAUUUUUUUGGCUCAGCCAGAUGUGCUCCCGCCUCCCACCGAGACGCUGAGACGGAGCUGAGUUUGCCUUCCAAUGUCUUGGAACAGAGGUUCAUGGGAAGUUUUCUCAGCUAUCUAAGGCACGGAGCCCUGGAGCCAAGUCAGCCUGAGCUGCUGCGUGCUUGCUGUGAGCCUUGAGGGCAGGACAGCGUUCAGACUGAAAGUGUAAGAAGAUGUGGAGUGAGACAGAAUCUGACAGGAGCACCGGACUCACAAGUGCAUGAAUUUUGCUUUUUGCUUGGAUUCAAACUCGGAAGUUGUAAGGAAUUUGGGAAGGAGAAGGGACAUUUCAGAAGGAGAAGAAGAAAAAGAAGUUGUUGUUUUUACAGCCCUGGCAAAAUCUUUGGUUCUAGCUAAUAAAGGAAGCUAGUUGAAAUAAAAAAAAAGAAAAAAAUGGG